UCUCCACAAUCAAAUGCUGGCGAAACCGAGGGCGAAACGGUCCUAUGUGAUAGUAGUCCUUUAGACUUAACCGACGGCGAUGUCCUGGUGAAUCAACAGAAAGACGUAGUGGUAGAAGUGAUUGAAAAUAUUGGUAAUGUUACUAUUUUAUUUCCGUAAUUCGUUUUAGUAUCUAUGGUUUUUUCAGAAACUUCAGAUCCACAAUCAAAUAUUAAGGAAACAGUCAUAUAUGAUUGUUGUCUUUUAGAUUUAACCGAACAGAAUAACGUAGUAGAAGUUAUUAAAAAUAUAGAAACUUCAUAUCCAGGAUCAAAUGAGAAAUCAGAUUUAUUGGAAAUGGGGAAUCAACAUAACCCAGUAGUGGCAGAAGUUAUGCAUAAUAAAGGUAUAUGUUAUUAUGUCAUUUUGUCAGUUAUUUUUAUAAGUAUUUAUUUGCUAAUCACUUCCCAGAAACUUCAUACUCACAAUUAGAUGAGCAAAUUAAUGAACAAAUAAUGAAAUAAACUAAUCAGAACUAUCAGAAGGUAAUAAUCUUGAAAAGUGCAAUCAAUUGUGCAACGUAAAAUUGCCUCUCAAAAUGAAAAGAAGAGGCCGUCCUAGGGGUAUUAGUACCACCGUUGUGGGUCUGAGGAAGAAACGUGGAAAGUGACAAAAAAGUAUUAAGUUUGUAAUUAUUGUUUUUAUUACUUUCAUGUUAAAUAAAUAAUAAUUUUUACAUUA